rnacentral:rRNA from 1 species
AUUGAACGCUGGCGGCAUGCUUUACACAUGCAAGUCGAACGGUAACAGGGAGCUUGCUCCGCUGACGGGUGGCGAACGGGUGAGUAAUGCGUCGGAACGUGCCGAGUAGUGGGGGAUAACGCAUCGAAAGGUGUGCUAAUACCGCAUACGAACUGAGGUUGAAAGUGGGGGACCUUCGGGCCUCACGCUAUUCGAGCGGCCGACGUCUGAUUAGCUAGUUGGUAAGGUAAAGGCUCACCAAGGCGACGAUCAGUAGCGGGUCUGAGAGGAUGAUCCGCCACACUGGGACUGAGACACGGCCAGACUCCUACGGGAGGCAGCAGUGGGGAAUUUUGGACAAUGGGCGCAAGCCUGAUCCAGCCAUGCCGCGUGUCUGAAGAAGGCCUUCGGGUUGUAAAGGACUUUUGUCCGGGAGCAAAUGCUGGUGGCUAACAUCCACCGGAGCUGAGAGUACCGGAAGAAUAAGCACCGGCUGACUACGUGCCAGCCGCCGCCGUAACAC